rnacentral:rRNA from 1 species
ACCAGUACCGUGAGGGAAAGGCGAAAAGAACCCCGGCGAGGGGAGUGAAAAAGAACCUGAAACCGUGUACGUACAAGCAGUGGGAGCACGCUUAGGCGUGUGACUGCGUACCUUUUGUAUAAUGGGUCAGCGACUUAUAUUCUGUAGCAAGGUUAACCGAAUAGGGGAGCCGAAGGGAAACCGAGUCUUAACUGGGCGUUAAGUUGCAGGGUAUAGACCCGAAACCCGGUGAUCUAGCCAUGGGCAGGUUGAAGGUUGGGUAACACUAACUGGAGGACCGAACCGACUAAUGUUGAAAAAUUAGCGGAUGACUUGUGGCUGGGGGUGAAAGGCCAAUCAAACCGGGAGAUAGCUGGUUCUCCCCGAAAGCUAUUUAGGUAGCGCCUCGUGAAUUCAUCUCCGGGGGUAGAGCACUGUUUCGGCAAGGGGGUCAUCCCGACUUACCAACCCGAUGCAAACUGCGAAUACCGGAGAAUGUUAUCACGGGAGACACACGGCGGGUGCUAACGUCCGUCGUGAAGAGGGAAACAACCCAGACCGCCAGCUAAGGUCCCAAAGUCAUGGUUAAGUGGGAAACGAUGUGGGAAGGCCCAGACAGCCAGGAUGUUGGCUUAGAAGCAGCCAUCAUUUAAAGAAAGCGUAAUAGCUCACUGGUCGAGUCGGCCUGCGCGGAAGAUGUAACGGGGCUAAACCAUGCACCGAAGCUGCGGCAGCGACGCUGAUGCGUUGUUGGGUAGGGGAGCGUUCUGUAAGCCUGCGAAGGUGUGCUGUGAGGCAUGCUGGAGGUAUCAGAAGUGCGAAUGCUGACAUAAGUAACGAUAAAGCGGGUGAAAAGCCCGCUCGCCGGAAGACCAAGGGUUCCUGUCCAACGUUAAUCGGGGCAGGGUGAGUCGACCCCUAAGGCGAGGCCGAAAGGCGUAGUCGAUGGGAAACAGGUUAAUAUUCCUGUACUUGGUGUUACUGCGAAGGGGGGACGGAGAAGGCUAUGUUGGCCGGGCGACGGUUGUCCCGGUUUAAGCGUGUAGGCUGGU